rnacentral:misc_RNA from 1 species
AUUCAAGACAAAAACCACUAAGAAUUCCAGGACAUAAAUACACUUCCAAAACACAGAGACUGAAAGGUCAAUACCCAUCUCUUGUUGGCCAAGGCAGUUUGCUUUACAGCAUCAAUAAAUUGGCCUACACUUGGUGAUGGCAUGAACAUUCUUUCUGCACCCGUUUGCAUCCGUAGAGCAUUCUCCGCCGGCCGGAAAAGCCGAAUAUGGUUAUCUUCUCCCUUGUACGCCUUUAGCCCUUCAAGUAAUCCCUAUUAUACACAAACGAGUCAUGUUACUAUAUAUACAUCACCCAAA